rnacentral:rRNA from 1 species
GACGAACGCUGGCGGCGUGCUUAACACAUGCAAGUCGUACGGUAAGGCCCUUUCGGGGGUACACGAGUGGCGAACGGGUGAGUAACACGUGAGUAACCUGCCCACAACUUUGGGAUAACGCUAGGAAACUGGUGCUAAUACUGGAUAUGUGCUCCUGCUGCAUGGUGGGGGUUGGAAAGCUCCGGCGGUUGUGGAUGGACUCGCGGCCUAUCAGCUUGUUGGUGGGGUAGUGGCCUACCAAGGCGGCGACGGGUAGCCGGCCUGAGAGGGUGACCGGCCACAUUGGGACUGAGAUACGGCCCAGACUCCUACGGGAGCAGCAGUGGGGAAUAUUGCACAAUGGGCGCAAGCCUGAUGCAGCAACGCCGCGUGCGGGAUGACGGCCUUCGGGUUGUAAACCGCUUUCAGCAGGGACGAAGCUUUUUGUGACGGUACCUGCAGAAGAAGCACCGGCUAACUACGUG